GACAGGUAGGAAAGGGAGAGGAGGUGGAAACGUAAGAGGAAGUGACCAAACAGACACGUUACCGAGAUGAGUAACGAGUCACAAAGGAAGGACAAUCUUCAGUGCCAGUGCUGGGGGAAAAAAACAACAACUCCUAGAACUGGUUCUUCUUAAAAGGUUCUUGAAUGCUCAUGAAAGCAGUCAGAUGCCCCCCAGCUAUGGCCUUUCCUGGAAGAAACAAUGGCAGCCUUUGUAGGACUCCAAUUCCUUUCUACAUGCUUGUAUCAGCUUUUACUCUUCUUUUGAUG